CAGAACGAACGCUGGCGGCGUGUCUUAAGCAUGCAAGUCGUGCGGCAAGGCGGGGCAACUCGCCCUAGAGCGGCGGACUGGUGAGUAACGCGUGGGUGAUCUGCCCUUGGGUUGGGGAUAGCCACUAGAAAUAGUGGGUAAUACCGAAUACGUCGCAGGGUUGCGGCCUGUGAGGAAAGGCGCUUCGGCGCCACCCGAGGAUGAGCCCGCGUCCCAUUAGCUAGUUGGUGAGGUAACGGCCCACCAAGGCGAUGAUGGGUAGGCGGCCUGAGAGGGUGUACGCCCACACUGGGACUGAGAUACGGCCCAGACUCCUACGGGAGGCAGCAGCUAAGAAUAUUCCGCAAUGGACGAAAGUCUGACGGAGCGACGCCGCGUGGAUGAUGAAGGCCGAAAGGUUGUAAAGUCCUUUUGCUGGGGAAGAAUAAGCCUGGGAGGGAAUGCCCGGGUGAUGACAUGAACCGGCGAAUAAGCCCCGGCUAACUACGUGCCAGCCGCCGC
rnacentral:rRNA from 1 species